AGCUUUAUAGUCAAUAAUGAUAUAAAAUUGCAAAUUUUAAGGAGUAAUAAUUUAAGUACUAAGGCUU
rnacentral:tRNA from 1 species